GACGAACGCUGGCGGCGUGCUUAACACAUGCAAGUCGAACGGAAAGGCCCGGCUUUUGUGGGGUGCUCGAGUGGCGAAAGGGGGAGAAACACGUGAGUAACCUGCCCUUGACUUUGGGAUAACUUCUGGAAACUGGGGCUAAUACCGCAUAGGAGCUCUUGCUGCACGGUGGGGGUUGGGAAGUUUGGGCGGUUGGGGAUGGACUCGCGGCUUAGCAGCUUGUUGGUCGGGUUGUGGCUUACCAAGGCGUCGACGGGUAGCCGGCCUGAGAGGGGGACCGGCGACAUGGCGCAUAAGAUACGGCCCAGAAGCCUACGGGAGGCAUCAGUGGGGAGUAUUACACAGAGGGCGGGAGCCUGAGGCAGCGACGCCGGGUGCGGGAUGACGGCCUUCGUGUGAUAAACCGCUUUCGCCUGGGACGAAGCGUGAGUGACGGUAAUGGGUAAAGAAGCACCGGCUAACUACGUG
rnacentral:rRNA from 1 species